rnacentral:rRNA from 1 species
GAUGAACGCUAGCUACAGGCUUAACACAUGCAAGUCGAGGGGCAGCAUUUCAGUUUGCUUGCAAACUGGAGAUGGCGACCGGCGCACGGGUGAGUAACACGUAUCCAACCUGCCGAUAACUCGGGGAUAGCCUUUCGAAAGAAAGAUUAAUACCCGAUGGCAUAAUUAGACCGCAUGGUCUUAUUAUUAAAGAAUUUCGGUUAUCGAUGGGGAUGCGUUCCAUUAGGCAGUUGGUGAGGUAACGGCUCACCAAACCUUCGAUGGAUAGGGGUUCUGAGAGGAAGGUCCCCCACAUUGGAACUGAGACACGGUCCAAACUCCUACGGGAGGCAGCAGUGAGGAAUAUUGGUCAAUGGGCGCAGGCCUGAACCAGCCAAGUAGCGUGAAGGAUGACUGCCCUAUGGGUUGUAAACUUCUUUUAUAUGGGAAUAAAGUUUUCCACGUGUGGAAUUUUGUAUGUACCAUAUGAAUAAGGAUCGGCUAACUCCGUGCCAGCAGCCGCGGUAAUACGGAGGAUCCGAGCGUUAUCCGGAUUUAUUGGGUUUAAAGGGAGCGUAGGUGGACAGUUAAGUCAGUUGUGAAAGUUUGCGGCUCAACCGUAAAAUUGCAGUUGAUACUGGCUGUCUUGAGUACAGUAGAGGUGGGCGGAAUUCGUGGUGUAGCGGUGAAAUGCUUUGAUAUCACGAAGAACUCCGAUUGCGAAGGCAGCUCACUGGACUGCAACUGACACUGAUGCUCGAAAGUGUGGGUAUCAAACAGGAUUAGAUACCCUGGUAGUCCACACAGUAAACGAUGAAUACUCGCUGUUUGCGAUAUACAGUAAGCGGCCAAGCGAAAGCAUUAAGUAUUCCACCUGGGGAGUACGCCGGCAACGGUGAAACUCAAAGGAAUUGACGGGGGCCCGCACAAGCGGAGGAACAUGUGGUUUAAUUCGAUGAUACGCGAGGAACCUUACCCGGGCUUAAAUUGCAUUUGAAUAUAUUGGAAACAGUAUAGCCGUAAGGCAAAUGUGAAGGUGCUGCAUGGUUGUCGUCAGCUCGUGCCGUGAGGUGUCGGCUUAAGUGCCAUAACGAGCGCAACCCUUAUCUUUAGUUACUAACAGGUCAUGCUGAGGACUCUAGAGAGACUGCCGUCGUAAGAUGUGAGGAAGGUGGGGAUGACGUCAAAUCAGCACGGCCCUUACGUCCGGGGCUACACACGUGUUACAAUGGGGGGUACAGAAGGCAGCUACCUGGUGACAGGAUGCUAAUCCCAAAAGCCUCUCUCAGUUCGGAUCGAAGUCUGCAACCCGACUUCGUGAAGCUGGAUUCGCUAGUAAUCGCGCAUCAGCCAUGGCGCGGUGAAUACGUUCCCGGGCCU